rnacentral:ncRNA from 15 species
GCCGAGGUAGCCAAGUCCGGUCAACAACCUUUUUGAAGGUCGGCUGAAGGCGCAAGCCUGGAAAGCUUGUGGGACGCAAGUCCCCCAAGGGUUCAAAUCCCUUCCUCGGCG